GUAUUUUUCUCUCCCUCGGGUCCAGCGGGUAGAUAAUAACACAGAGGACCUUGGUGGGCCCCUCAUCAUUGUGGCCGGGACAGCAUCGACAACAGCCCUCACAAAUAGACACAGAAGUUCAAAGCUGUUGACACACAUCAACUAAAUAAACCAGCCCGCUGAAUGAUUCCUCACCCAGAUAUAUGAUAUGUCUGGCUGUCAGUCGUAUUGUUGACUAGGGGCCCGGAGUGACACUGGCCCCCUGAAGCGUCCACCUGAUAUAGCAGUGAAAGAUCACAGACAUGGACUUUCAGCCUGGUCCAAACUUGAGAAAACUGUACUAAGCAGAUUUUGAUGGAUGUCCCUGCUGAAAAGACCAGCAUGUUCAAUUUCCAAACCAACUGCGAUUCGCCGCAGCCAGACUCCCAGGAGGCCACGGGUGUCUGGACAUGAUGUCACACCUCUAACAUCUUCUAGCCUCUGCUGCCUGAAAGUGACAGCUCUUGGCUUCUUCACGGUGAAGAGAAAGCCUGCGUGGAAUGGUUUCUCUGCACUCAGUACUGCACCAAACUUCUGGUUUCCGUGCUGAAAAGACACUGCUGUUGUGUUUUGGUACCCAGUGUGGGAUGCAGGCUUCUUCGGCCCAAAACACACUCUCUGAAUGUACCUUAAUGUUCUUGCUAUACAAGCGUGAUUUCACAUUGCUUUAAUAAAUGCAUCAGAACACAUUCAAGGGGUACUAUUGCAUGGUAAACAAACGUUUAUAGAUAUUAAGAAACUAAAAUGUAAUAUAUUAAUAAUUAAUGAAAGCAGUUAUUAUUGCGAAACAAUUAAGUCAAUAAAUAAUUAAACCAAUAAAUAAAUAUACCUCUAUUUAUUUUUUCAUAAAACCACUACUGCAAUUAAAUGAUUUUUUCCCAUAAUUAAAUUUUUAAUAAUAAAGCAUUCUUUUUUCCUGAAAUAAAAAUAUUUCCAAAAGUUGCUGUUUUAAUAAUAAAUAAUAAUUUCUUCCUAUGAUAAAAUAGAUUAUUUCAUAUUAUUUCCUAAAGUAAUUUUAAAUAUAAUUUUUUUUUAAUUGGUUUAAUUAUUUAAAUUUAAUUUACAGUGUUUUGGUCCUCCGUGUAUUGUUAGCUUUGUGCACUUUUAUGAUAGUUAAAAUAUUUUAUAUUUAUAAUAUUUGUAUAUUUUUUUUCUAUUUCAUUCUUUCUCUUUUCCUCAGAGAGGAGGUGCUGCAGGUACAAGUGGAGCCGCGGUUUCACCUAAAAGCAGAAAGAGGUCCCAGA
rnacentral:lncRNA from 12 species